CUCUUGGCUCAGCUGAAUACAUUCUCCUGGCUCCGAUCCCCGGCCUGCACGGAGCCAGCAAUGGAGUGACACUUUAAAACAAAGCAGGAGGAAGGACUUCCUGUUGGGCUGGGCUGCCUGCUACGCGCUGAGCAGAUGCCGCUGCAGCCGGCUCAAACCUCGGGCUGUUCUGCUUUCAAGGGAAGUUUGCACUUGUUGAGUUUUCGGCGUGUUUUAAAGCCGAGGCCAGAGGAGCCCGUUCCGUGCGGGCGGGGAGCGGCCGGGCAGCCCGGGGAGUAGGGGCUGGUGCGGCGCGUACUUUCCAAUCCCUCCCCCCAGACGACGGUCUGUGAUCAUGAAUGACUACAGUGGAAGUGUUGUCCAGUGUGCCUGAUCUGUGGCACCCUCUGCUGAUCUAGUGUGGUGCUACAGGAACUCCCUGCUUCAGUUUCCCUUCGCUCAGGGCCCCUUAAGAAUUCCAUACAGUCCAAAAGAAUAAGAUUGUGAGAUGUUCUACCUUGCUAUGAAUUGCUGACUUCUUGUCUGAGUGACAUUCCCAACCUGCAUUAUGCAGGGCAUGUCAUAUCAGCCACUGACUCCUGCUGGAACCCAGAGCUGGCCUAUGGAGGGGUCA